CAUCUGUCAUUUUUGCCUUUCUUCACCAGAUUCUUUUCAAGAUUAAUCGUGUAUUUGUGAUUUGGGUUUUCAAGAUUUCUAUUUCUUGUAAGUCGGGUUUUCGGUUUUCGAAGAUUUCAAGAGUUUAAACACAAG